GUGUCCUAGAAUUGAUUUUCAUGCGAGUAUGUCUUCUACCGAGAAUCUUCAUCAACUUUCAUUACAACUGAAUGGUCUUGUCUCAGAGCCCUCACCUUUGGUCAAUGGGGAUGAGGUGCUCUCUUCAGCUGACUUGAAAAGUCUGGAGAGACAGCAGAAUGAAGAUAUUUUGAAUCAAAGGGGAAAAAGUAAUAAGGACUUUGAGCAAAAAUUUGCAAAGGAACAGGGGGCUCUUAGAGAGCAGUUACAGGU